rnacentral:rRNA from 1 species
AUUGCCUCAGUAACGGCGAGUGAAGCGGCAACAGCUCAAAUUUGAAAUCUGGCUCCCCUUGGGGGUCCGAGUUGUAAUUUGGAGAGGAUGUUUCUGGCGCGGCGCCUUCCGGAGUUCCUUGGAACAGGACGCCACAGAGGGUGAGAGCCCCGUACGGUCGGCCGCCAAACCUCCAAAGAAACUCCUUCGACGAGUCGAGUAGUUUGGGAAUGCUGCUCAAAAUGGGAGGUAAAUUUCUUCUAAAGCUAAAUACCGGCCAGAGACCGAUAGCGCACAAGUAGAGUGAUCGAAAGAUGAAAAGCACCUUGAAAAGAGGGUUAAACAGUACGUGAAAUUGUUGAAAGGGAAGCGCCUGCGACCAGACUCGCGCCCCGCGGACCAGCCGGCGUUCUCGCCGGUGCACUCCGCGGGGUGCGGGCCAGCAUCGGUUUUCCCUGGGGGAGAAAGGCCGCGGGAACGUAGCUCCUUCGGGAGUGUUAUAGCCCGUGGCGUCAUGCCCCAGGGGGGACCGAGGACCGCGCUUCGGCAAGGAUGCUGGCGUAAUGGUCGUCGGCGACCCGUCU